AGUCGAGCGAUGAGAUCACUUCGGUGAAGGAUUAGCGGCGAACGGGUGAGGAACACGUGAAGAAUCUGCCUUCAACUCUGGGAUAACUCCGGGAAACCGGGGCUAAUACCGGAUAUGAGCCUUGAUCGCAUGAUCGGGGCUGGAAAGUUUUUCGGUUGAAGAUGACUUCGCGGCCUAUCAGCUUGUUGGUGAGGUAAUGGCUCACCAAGGCGACGACGGGUAGCCGGCCUGAGAGGGCGACCGGCCACACUGGGACUGAGACACGGCCCAGACUCCUACGGGAGGCAGCAGUGGGGAAUAUUGGGCAAUGGAGGAAACUCUGACCCAGCGACGCCGCGUGCGGGAUGAAGGCCUUCGGGUUGUAAACCGCUUUCAGCAGGGAAUAAGCGCAAGUGAAGGUACCUGCAGAAGAAGCACCGGCUAACUAUGUGCCAGCAGCCGCGGUAAUACAUAGGGUGCAAGCGUUGUCCGGAAUUAUUGGGCGUAAAGAGCUCGUAGGUGGUUUGUUACGUCGGUUGUGAAAUUCAGGGGCUCAACCCCUGACUUGCAGCCGAUACGGGCAAGCUAGAGUUUGGUAGGGGAGACUGGAAUUCCUGGUGUAGCGGUGGAAUGCGCAGAUAUCAGGAGGAACACCGAUGGCGAAGGCAGGUCUCUGGGCCAAUACUGACACUGAGGAGCGAAAGCGUGGGGAGCGAACAGGAUUAGAUACCCUGGUAGUCCACGCCGUAAACGGUGGGCGCUAGUUGUGCGAACCUUCCACGGUUUGUGCGACGCAGCUAACGCAUUAAGCGCCCCGCCUGGGGAGUACGAUCGCAAGAUUAAA
rnacentral:rRNA from 1 species